rnacentral:lncRNA from 1 species
CUAUCACCAAGGAAAGAAACGAUCUAAAAGAAUUACAGGAGUCAUUUGAAAUAGAGAAAAAGCAACUUAAAGAAUACGCAAGAGAAAUGGAAUCUGCGGGCCUACAAACAAAAGAACAACUAAACAUUGCCCAUGCAAAUCUAAAAGAAUACCAAGAAAUCAUCAAAGAGCUAAGAGGAAGCAUUUCUGAAAAAGAAGCUCAAGCAUCAAGCACCCAGGACACAGGAAAAACCAACCCUGCAUCACAAGGAGAGACCCCAGUGCCGCGAGAGCAAGAGCUACUUCCUGAUGCGGAAGAAGCCAGGGCCAGUGCAGAGAAGGGGAGUGAACUGGAGCCAGUGGAAGAACAUUCCAGAACAGCGCACUCAUU